ACCUACGGGGGGCAGCAGUGGGGGAUAUUGGACAAUGGGGGGAACCCUGAUCCAGCGACGCCGCGUGAGUGAAGAAGUAUUUCGGUAUGUAAAGCUCUGUCAGCAGGUAAGAAAGAAAUGACGGUACCUGACCAAGAAGCCCCGGCUAACUACGUGCCAGCAGCCGCGGUAAUACGUAUGGGGCAAGCGUUAUCCGGAUUUACUGGGUGUAGAGGGAGCGUAGGCGGCAGGGCAAGCCUGAUGUGAAAGCCCGGGGCUCAACCCCGGGACUGCAUUGGGAACUGCCCCGCUCGAGUGCCGGAGGG
rnacentral:rRNA from 1 species